UACAGAGGGUGCAAGCGUUGUUCGGAAUUAUUGGGCGUAAAGGGCGCGUAGGCGGUGCGGUAAGUCUGUAGUGAAAUCUCUGGGCUCAACUCAGAGUCUGCUAUAGAAACUGCCGUGCUUGAGUGUGGGAGAGGUGAGUGGAAUUCCCGGUGUAGCGGUGAAAUGCGUAGAGAUCGGAAAGAACACCAACGGCGAAAGCACUCUGCUGGGCCGACACUGACACUGAGAGACGAAAGCUAGGGGAGCGAAUGGG
rnacentral:rRNA from 1 species